GCAGUUUAUAGGGAGAAUAUUCAAUCUUAUGGGAUUGAAUUUAGGUGUUGGUUCUAGAAAUAAUGGGUUACUUAUGGAAACGAAACAUGUGUGCAGGGCCAAGUUGUUAUCAAGGCUUUUAGAAGCUGACUUCAGUUCAUUAAAGGAAUCAUUGUAUGAUUUCUAAAGUAACAUACUUAAAACAAAUUCUGUCAUUAAUGUUUAUGAGAAUGGAUUAGAUUUUGCGGAUUAAAUAUUAAUAUGAUUUUUUCUAACAUUAGAAGUUGCAUCAGUUGAUUGAUUGGAAGAAAGUUGGUCAUGGUGGAAAGAACAUUUGCAUUUAGUUGCAGUAGUUAUGCUCUAUAUUUGGUUAAAUGAAGUUCUUGUCCUUCAAGUCGGUCAUGAUUAUUUUUCAAACAUAGGUGUAUAUGGUUGUAGGGCUUUCUUGAGUUGUUCUAGGUGCCUGUAUCGAUGAACCAUUAUAUGGUAGUUUCUGCUUUUGAUGCUGCAGUUUAUGUAUAUGAAUCUCUUUGGUUAAUAGGAGAUAUUCACGUCAUUUGUUCUGUUUUGCAGACUGUACAAAUACAACAGCAG
rnacentral:misc_RNA from 1 species